GUUAAGGUGGCAGAGCCCGGCAAUUGCAAAAGACCUAAGUCCUUUCCACGGAGGUUCAACUCCUCCCCCUAACU
rnacentral:tRNA from 1 species